GAGAUGCCAAGGGGUUAUUAUCUAGAGAGGUGAACAUAAACAUAGAGAAUUACCUCAUAAUGGAAGGAAGUGUGUGUAGGGCUCUGUCAGUGACAUAGAGAGUGGAAGUUCAGAGAAAGGAGAGAAUAUUGUGAACUAAGCAGCCAGGAAAGGCAUUGGAGCAGCCAGGAAAGGCUGAGACUUGAAAGAUGCUAGGAUAGCAUGAGUCAAGAGGAGAGAGAAAUGCUCAAUGCCCACUGUGAGAAGAUAGCCUUUCCCAGUUGGCAUUGGAGAGUAGUGGGACAUCAUACCAUGGUGACAAGGGUAAUCUACCCUUCAGAGUCCCAACUAUCGUCAAAGGAUGACACUGCCACCAUAUGGCUCUCUAGGCACUCCCACACAAUGGACUCUGAGACUGACUGCAUUUUCCAAAAAUAGACACAGCAAUAUUUCUGGUCCCACGUGCUGUUCCAGAACGCUGCCUCUGCCUCAACCAAGAAGUGGAUUUUAUUUCCCCUUCCCUUGAAUUUGAGUGGGACUUCCUUUGUGGGGGCCUCAGUGAAGACACUGCAGUGGAAACAAUGCUGGGUGACUUCAGAGGUUAGGUCAUAAAUAUGACAUGGCUUCCGUCCAUCACUCUCUCUCAGAACACUCACCAUUGGAACUCAGCCGCCAUGUUGUAAGGAAGCCUCAUGUAGAGUUCCAGCAGACAAGCCUAGCUCAGGUACCAGCCAACAGCCAGCGUGAAUCACCAGACAGGUGAAUGAAGACUCCUUUCAGAAGAUUCCAUCCCCAGCCUUUGAAGUGCCCCAGCUGACAGUGAGCAGAGCAGAGACAAGCUAUCCCUGUAAGCUUUGCGUGAACUGCAGAUUCAUGAGAAAAAUAGGUCUCCAGCCUGCCAACCCACUUUGCAGAUUUUGGACUUGCCAAGCCUCCAUAAUCACGGGAAGAAAUUACCGAGAGUUUAAGAAACAUCCUCAGAAAAAUCAACAGAUCAGCAGAUAAACUAGAAAUCUGGACAAAAUCCAUAUACCUAACCAAUGGCAUUUUUUCUUUUUUUAAGAUUGGCACCUGAGCUAACAACUCUUGCCAGUCUUCUUUUUUUUUUUUCUGCUUUCUCUCCCCAAAUCUCCCCCUGUACGUAGUUGUAUACCUUAGUUGCAGGUCCUACUAGCUGUGGCAUGUGGGACGCUGCCUCAACGUAGCCUGAUGAGCAGUGGCAUGUCCACACCCAGGAUUCAAACCAGUGAAACCCUGGGCAGCCGCAGCCACUCGGCCACGGGGACCAGCCCCACCGAUGGCAUUUUUAACAUAAGCUGAAGUUAAAUAAAGUCAAUAAGUAUUUCUGAAAUAGUUUGUGCUUUUUUGGUAACUGUUAGAUUUAUCUCGUUUGACUUUCAUGUUUGGUGUGUAACAGGAAUAAGAACAAAUUAUUUUGUCUUGUGGUUAUUUGAUAAACCAAGAAAAAUUACCCCCCAAAUGGGUCAUGUUUGGAAUAUUCAGGAGCAAAAAGCAAUGUGAUUACAAGUUAUCAUUGGGGCAAAAAAACUGUCUGGGAAUUGGUAAAAUUUUUCCAUCUUCUUCAGUUCCACAUUGAAAGUGGUCAAAUCGGACCAGAUUCUCCAAGGAUGCCUUUCUUCCUUUGGUUCCUUAAAACAGUCCACUGGAAGAGAAGGAAAAGAAAAAUCAGAAUUCCACAACAAUGUUGUCAGCUGCGCAGUAGGAAAAUCCAUAGACAAGGAUGUAAAAAAGACAGACCUGAACCUCUCGCCCAGAGCUGUGUAGAGUCUUUUUUCUUAUUGUUAUUAAUCACAAGCCUGAAACCUUUGAAGCAAUCUCCAUUUUCUCC
ensembl:lncRNA